rnacentral:rRNA from 1 species
CCGAGUUGUAAUUUGCAGAGGAUGCUUUUGGUGCGCUGCCUUCCAAGUUCCCUAGAACGGGACGCCAGAGAGGGUGAGAGCCCCGUACAGUUGGACACCAAGCCUUUGUAAAGCUCCUUCGACGAGUCGAGUAGUUUGGGAAUGCUGCUCAAAAUGGGAGGUAUAUUUCUUCUAAAGCUAAAUACCGGCCAGAGACCGAUAGCGCACAAGUAGAGUGAUCGAAAGAUGAAAAGCACUUUGAAAAGAGGGUUAAACAGCACGUGAAAUUGUUAAAAGGGAAGCGCUUGUGACCAGACUUGCGUCCGGUGAAUCACCCAGCUCUCGCGGCUGGGGCACUUCGCCGGCUCAGGCCAGCAUCAGCUCGCUGUCGGGGACAA